AGUGAACGCUGGCGGUAGGCCUAACACAUGCAAGUCGAACGGCAGCACAGUAAGAGCUUGCUCUUACGGGUGGCGAGUGGCGGACGGGUGAGGAAUACAUCGGAAUCUACUUUUUCGUGGGGGAUAACGUAGGGAAACUUACGCUAAUACCGCAUACGACCUACGGGUGAAAGCAGGGGAUCUUCGGACCUUGCGCGAUUGAAUGAGCCGACGUCGGAUUAGCUAGUUGGCGGGGUGAAGGCCCACCAAGGCGACGAUCCGUAGCUGGUCUGAGAGGAUGAUCAGCCACACUGGAACUGAGACACGGUCCAGACUCCUACGGGAGGCAGCAGUGGGGAAUAUUGGACAAUGGGCGCAAGCCUGAUCCAGCCAUACCGCGUGGGUGAAGAAGGCCUUCGGGUUGUAAAGCCCUUUUGUUGGGAAAGAAAAGCAGCAGGUUAAUACCCCGCUGCUCUGACGGUACCCAAAGAAUAAGCACCGGCUAACUUCGUG
rnacentral:rRNA from 1 species